UACAGAGGGUGCAAGCGUUAAUCGGAAUUACUGGGCGUAAAGCGUGCGCAGGCGGCUUUGCAAGACAGAUGUGAAAUCCCCGGGCUCAACCUGGGAACUGCAUUUGUGACUGCAAGGCUAGAGUACGGUAGAGGGGGAUGGAAUUCCGCGUGUAGCAGUGAAAUGCGUAGAUAUGCGGAGGAACACCGAUGGCGAAGGCAAUCCCCUGGACCUGUACUGACGCUCAUGCACGAAAGCGUGGGGAGCAAACAGG
rnacentral:rRNA from 1 species